rnacentral:lncRNA from 1 species
UGUGGGUAACGUGGGCUAAUCAAACUGGACAGGAUACUUUUUGCCUUUCAAUGGCUACCCCUUCGGAUCCUUUUCAAACUUGUUUAGUGGGCGCACCUUUGGAUGAUUCAUUCAAUGCCACAAUGUUUAAAAACUGGACAAAGAAUUGGAAAACACCCAAGGAAGCUAACAAAACAUUAUGUGAAAUUCCAUCAGGUAAAUUAAUGAUCAAUAUCUGUGACACAGGUUUAAUCUCAGCAAAUCCCAUUGGUGCUCAAAAUUGGUACAUUGCUACAGGUUUAAAUGUUACUGGGUCAGAACCACAAGAGUUAAGACUGUUAGGUUCAGCCCCUAGCAACUACUGUUUGGUUUUUGUCAAUUGGGCUAGGAACAAUUAUGCAAAAAGGUUUCAUGGGCCAAAUGGUACAAAUGUUUCUCCACAAAAUUUGCUAUAUUUGCAAAAUAAUGAUGCAUACUGUGGUAAUUGGUCUCACAAGGUAAAUUCUAGCAGUUCACCUCUACAAUUACCACCUGGUAUUUUUCUAAUCUGUGGAGAUCGUGCAUGGCAAGGAUUGCCAGCAAACCUUUAUGGUGGGCCUUGUUAUUUUGGGAAAUUGACAUUGUUUGCACCCACUAUACAGCAGCUCUUAGAAACCAAUAGAACCAAGUUACGAACAAAGAGAAGUGUGUUUCAAUUGGGACCAGAAUGCAAAGAUAAGGUUGAACUUUGGGAACGUCCUACAGUGAUUGUGUCAUCUAUUUUUACACCUGGAGUAUCUAGUGCUCAAGCCUUAACACAGUUACGACGACUGGCAUGCUGGACAGGAAAACAGUUUAAUAUUACAUCAAAGGUUUUGUCUGAUUUGCUUUCGGAUAUGAACAGUGUUAGGCAUGCUGUAUUGCAGAAUAGAGCUGCUAUUGAUUUUUUGCUAUUAGCACAAGGCCAUGGCUGUGAGGAUUUUGAUGGGAUGUGUUGCAUGAAUCUUUCUGAUCAUUCAAUGUCUAUUUAUGCUCGUCUUCAACAACUACAGAGCAAUAUGAAAAAAUUAACCAUAGAAACAAAUCCUUUAGAGGAAUGGUUUCAAUCCCUAGGUCUCACAGGAUGGUUAAAAAAUUUGGCACAAAUGGCAAUUGUUGUUAUAUUGAUCAUUGUGAUUGUGUUAUUGUUUAUUCCUUGUAUACUGCAAUGCUUGCAAAACAUGGUAAAAAAGGCUACUUCUACAGUUUUGUUAGUACAAAAAGAAAACAGGGGAAUUAUAGAGGAAUGGCUAGAGAGCAAAGGUCAUAUUCCCAUGCAGCAGUUAGCUGGGAAAGAAUUAGACAAUAGAGUACAGUUGGUGUGAGAUGUUGCAAAGUCAGGAAGGCCUUGGUGAUAGCUGUUAACUGAGAGCAGGACGCUGUGAUCAGAAGAAUGUGAAUUCAGCAUAGAUGAGCGAUCACAGGAAUGUAGAAUUAGGUGGAGUUGACCUUAAAUGAAGUAUCCAAUAAUGAGCUUGCUUUUUGCACUAUGUAUGAGCCUAAUUAUUGAUGCUAUAUAAGUGGUGUUAGAGUUAUCAAUAAACGAGACUUGCUGAUCA